AUAACUUAUUUUAUUUCAUGUGAACUUACUAUUAAAAUGGGGGAAGUGGAUCUACCUCUUUGAGAAACUGACCUUGAAAUAGUAGGAAAUUUAUUAUUCCUCACAUAUUCAUGGGAACUUUGGAAAGAGUCAAGACAUUUGGCAACCUGCUCAGGAGAUAUUAUGGGAUGCCUACCAAGUGGAGGAUACUGUGCUAAGACUUUGGAGUGGUUGAGCCCAAGCAAGGGCAGAGCGUUGUUACUUCUUCACUCACCUAACUGCACAUUUAUUGAGCGCCACUGGGUAAUUUACCUCUGACGGUUUUUGCUUCUGUUCAUAUCUGUGUUAUUAACACUUUCUCCAGGGUUUCUUGUGAAAAAUAAAUGGGAUAAAGUUGUUUAGCAAUACUUGUUAACAGGUAAGAGAUUGGUAAACAGUUAUUUCUCUAUCCUUUGCCACACUUAGAAUAAAAUAAUAAAUUCUUUGUGUGGCAUUUAUGACCCUUUUUAAAACCAACCCACAUACCUAUCUGGUCUUAUUUCCCAGGACUUCCAUGUCUGGAGCGCCUAUGAGAACAGUGUACUAGUUUGCUGGAGCUGCCAUAACCAAGUUCAGUACAAACCUAUUACCUCCCAGCUCUGGAGGCCAGGAGUCCAAAAUCAAGGUGUUGGCAGGAGUCCAAAAUCAAGAUCCUUGUACGCAGGGGAGAAGAACAGAGACAAUACUCAUGUGGGAAAGAGGAAGAGCCUUUGGGGAAGGCCUCAUUUAGACAAGGCUGCAGAGGAUGGCUUUUCCUUGGUAGACACUUCAAGGUCCUCUACCUGUUAGCUUUGAAAGUUGGUUCCAACCGCAAAUGGAGAGUAGUUUUAUCUAAAGAUAAAUGCAUGCAUGGGAUUGAUGGAAAAAAUCAGAACAUCGAUGUAUUAACUCACAGUGAGAAAUGAACUGUCAUAAACACUGAAGGGCAGUGUCUUCUGAUUAUCUCCUAUGGAAAACCAGAUAUAAUCAAAAGUUUGCUGGAUGAGCCUGGAGUCAGACCAAGGGAAAAUCAAUAAAGGAUUUGAAUAUUUAAUGGUAUCAGUUUAAGAUAGUCUGACAAAUUCAUCUCCAUGGUGUCAGCUGCCAAUGGAAUAACAUUCUUGAGUCUAUCGGCUAAAUGAGCAGGCACUAGCAAUGUAUGAAUCUUGAGCUAUUCUUCCUCUUUGUGUAAUACGAUUAUUCUGAGUUUUAUAAUCUGAGAUCACACCUUCCUUUUAAUAACCAAAUUUAAAAUACUUUAUGGCUUCC
rnacentral:lncRNA from 1 species